rnacentral:ribozyme from 1 species
UCCAAAAAUAACAAAGAAACAAAAGGGAAACAAUAAUUUUUCUUUUCUUUUUUUCUUUUUUAUUUUUUUAUUUUUUAU